rnacentral:lncRNA from 1 species
AUGAAUCCUCCUCACACAGACGUGCCUCCCUACUUGGCGCUGCAUGAGAGGGAAGGGGAGAGGGCCAGGGAUCUGUGCACCAGGACUCCAGCCCGCUCAGACUUCAGCUCGCCUGGGAGCCUCACCUGCCAGGUGAACACCCCCUGGGAGCUGCCAGCCCCCGCCGUGCCUGGGGAUGCCCUGCAAGAGGCUUCUGUCUUCCCAGGACACAGGGAAGCCCUCCAGACACCGGGGCCAGGGUGGGAGUGCACUGCACACCUGGAUCACCUCUGGAGCUACCAGUGCUUUGUUUUUUGUAUCAUCUUUCUCACAACUCAACAGUGCUGGCAGGACAACAAACCUGCGACUCUUGACGUUGCCCGCGGACGCUGUGUGUGCGCCUUUCUCACUGCUGAGCUGGGCGGUGUGGUGAGCAGGGCUUGGAAGAUGCUUCUGUUGCACGGGUCCCCAGUGAGGACAGCAGUUAAUAAAGGCAAUCUUGGGCUGAGAACAGAAGGGCUGGCACACUCAGCCACGUCCUCUCCAUCUGGGGCAUUGAACGGCUCCAGACAGGGGAGACCCGGCUGCAUCUCUGGAAGUGACCCUGCGGUGGUUGAAGGCCACUCCGUGGCAUCAGGUUCUGAGAGCUUGAAUCUCCACUCGGAGAGGAGUCCACACAGGAUCUUCCCGUACCCUGCACGUCAGCCCAUCCUACCCAGGAAGAAUCUCCACUUGGAGAGGGGCUCACACAGGAUCGUCCCCGUACCCUGCACGUCAGCCCAUCCUACCCAGGAAGAAUGUCCACUCGGAGAGGGGCCCACACAGGAUCUUCCUCGUCCCCUGCAUGUCAGCCCAUCCUACCCAGGAAGAAUCUCCACUCGGAGAGGGGUCCACACAGGAUCGUCCCCGUACCCUGCACGUCAGCCCAUCCUACCCAGGAAGAAUCUCCACUCGGAGAGGGGCCCACACAGGAUCGUCCCCGUACCCUGCACGUCGGCCCAUCCUACCCAGGAAGAAUCUCCACUCGGAGAGGGGCCCACACAGGAUCGUCCCUGUACCCUGCACGUCAGCCCAUCCUACCCAGGAAGACCACGUGCCCAUUCUGCAGAAAAGGACACUGCGGUUUCUUUCCCUGCUCUCCUUCCUGGCAGGCACGCAGGUAACAUCACAGCCUUGAGCCCCCUCUGCCUCUCUCUGGUUCUGCCCAGUUCUUGUACUGAGGCUCAGUGUCCUUAG